rnacentral:lncRNA from 1 species
CUCUCUCUCUCUCUCUCUCUCUCUCUCUCUCUCUCUCCCCUCCUACAUAGAGGCCAAAUUCAAAACUAUCUCCCAUCCAGUAGGUAUUUGCCACAUGAAAAGCAGAACAUUAUCACAUUCAACGUAAUAUGUAGGUUUCCGGCUGUCUCACUACCUUUUUGCAUUGCAGGUGUAAGAGCCACAGCCGCUGCCCAUAGCACCGUGAUAGCUGUUGACAAGAAGAAAAACCAACUCAGCUCAAUUAAGCUUUUACUAAUCAGAUUUGGCAAAUGAUUUCUUUUAUGUUAUUUUAUUUUGAUUUUCCUAACAGAUAUCCAAAUUUUACCAGUCGAAGAGAGUCUUGGCUGCUGAAAAAUUAGGGUGAAUGAAUUUUGUAUAGUUCGUGCUGUUUUCAUAAUCCAUCUGCAAAAAAAAAAGAUUAUUUAGACUUGAGACUCUGGACUUGUCUUCUAACAAGUUUUUUGUUUUUUUUGUUUUUUUUGUUUUUGGCCAAUUGUUGGGAGGGGGAUGGGGGAUAUCAGUUAAAUAGGUUCUCUACAAAUUUUUGCCAAUAUUAAGCGUCGAAUUUGGGUGCCAAUUUGGCGGGGAGGGGGGAAAAUUGC